rnacentral:rRNA from 1 species
AUUGAACGCUGGCGGCAGGCCUAACACAUGCAAGUCGAACGGCAACAGGGAUCAGCUUGCCGCUUCGCUGACGAGUGGCGGGGGGGUGUGUAAUGUCCGUGAAACUGUCUGAUGGAGGGGGAUAUCUACUGGAAACGGUAGCUAAUACCGCAUAACGUCCCUAGACCAAAGAGGGGGACCUUUGGGCCCCUUGCCAUCGGAUGUGCCCAGAUGGGAUUAGCUAGUAGGUGGGGUAACGGCUCACCUAGGCGACGAUCCCUAGCUGGUCUGAGAGGAUGACCAGCCACACUGGAACUGAGACACGGUCCAGACUCCUACGGGAGGCAGCAGUGGGGAAUAUUGCACAAUGGGCGCAAGCCUGAUACAGCCAUACCGCGUGUAUGAAGAAGGCCUUCGGGUUGUAAAGUACUUUUGGCGGGGAAGAAGGGAGUAAAGUUAAUACCUUGGCUCAUUGACGUUACCCGCAGAAGAAGCACCGGCUAACUCCGUG